rnacentral:lncRNA from 1 species
UUAGAUUAAUAAUUUUUUGCACAUGGCAGCCACAACAGUUUAGCUUGAAUAUUUGUUUUGUCCUGUUUCAGUAGUCACAAUUAGUUCAUACAAUUAACAUGUGAUAUCAUUUUAAUAAAAUUAUUAUUUUUUUCUUCUUUUUUGUUCACAGUGUGCAGAAGAAGAACAAGGACGAGAUCUCCAGUCUUCUGUCUCACAUCCCAACCCCCAUCCCCUCUAUCCUCUGUCCUGCUCCACCUGUUGUCUCUGCCUUCUUUCCAUCUGUAUUUCACCCUGUGGUUUGUGAGAAAUUUUGCCAAACCAAGAAUCUUAUUGCGGUUUGAUUUCAAAGCCGUGUCUCUCCUGCUCUGUCUGUUCUCUCUGCUGUGGUAAGUACAGUACACUCAGUACUGCACUGUUUUAUUUUUAUGAUGAUAAAAAAUACAUGUUUGACAUUUAAACUCACAUAUCAAGUCCAACAGAGUUCAAAGAAUAAAGAAAGAAAGAAAAAAGAAUAACCUUCGCUAUCAUUUAUAUUUGUUUAUGACGUUUUGCUGUUAGCAGCAGUGCUAACGCUAGCUUCAAUGCUAAUGCUAGCAACGAUGCUAAUGCUAGCAACAAUGCUAACGCUAGCUAUAGUGCUAACACUAGCACUAGCAGUUGUUAACUGACAAAAAGAAUAUUCCUGUGAUAUUCCUGUGAUAUUUCUUGGCGGUCAGUGAGACAAAAGUAACAAAUGAGCUUUAUUAUUGCCAUUGUGGCUCAGUUUUAACAGUAAGAGUGCUAGCGCUAGCAGCAUUGCUAAUGCUAGCUGCAAUGCUAACGCUAGCUGCAGUGCUAACACUAACUGAAGUGCUAAUGCUAGCCGGAAUGCUAGCGCUAGCAGCAAUGCUAAGGCUAGUAACAGUCGAACAGUAGCCUUACAUAAGUGGAAAUACUUCAGGUAAUUAGUUUGAAUUAUAAAAUGGUUGCUGUGUCUGUUGGUGUGCUAUAUUAUUCCAUAACCUGCUGACUAUAAGUUCAGUGUAUCAUGUCAUGUGGGCUUUGUAUUUCUGUUAGUCUGAUAAUACUGUACAGACAACUAACAUUAUUUCUCGUCUUACACUUUCAGGAACUUGACUGACAUCUGUGCUUUGCCUGGUAGGUGUGCACAUACUGUAAGAGAAGUAUACCAAAAUAAAAAAAUAAUCUGACUUUUAUAAGCUGUAAAGUGAUGGGUUCAAUCUUUCAUUCAAACUAGACCUUUUAAACACAAUUUUAUAAUAAAUACACAUAAGUGCAGCUUAACAAUUGGGCUAAAAUAUUUUUUUCGUACAUUUUUGUAGUC